rnacentral:rRNA from 1 species
AGAUUUCCGAAUGGGGGAACCCACUAUCUUUAGUCGGAUAGUAUCCUUACGUGAAUACAUAGCGUGAGGAAGGCAGACCCAGGGAACUGAAACAUCUAAGUACCUGGAGGAAGAGAAAGAAAAAUCGAUUUCCUGAGUAGCGGCGAGCGAAACGGAAAGAGCCCAAACCAAGAAGCUUGCUUCUUGGGGUUGUAGGACACUCUAUACGGAGUUACAAAAGAAAGUUAUAAAUGAAGCGGUCUGGAAAGGCCCGCCAAAGACGGUAACAGCCCGGUAGUUGAAAUGGCUUUCCCUCCAGAGUGGAUCCUGAGUACGGCGGAACACGUGAAAUUCCGUCGGAAUCCGGGAGGACCAUCUCCCAAGGCUAAAUACUCCCUAGUGACCGAUAGUGAACCAGUACCGUGAGGGAAAGGUGAAAAGCACCCCGGAAGGGGAGUGAAACAGUUCCUGAAACCGUGUGCCUACAAGUAGUUAGAGCCCGUUAAUGGGUGAUAGCGUGCCUUUUGUAGAAUGAACCGGCGAGUUACGAUUUGUUGCAAGGUUAAGCGGAAAAAGCGGAGCCGUAGCGAAAGCGAGUCUGAAUAGGGCGCAUAAGUAACAGGUCGUAGACCCGAAACCAGGUGAUCUACCCAUGUCCAGGAUGAAGGUAAGGUAAUACUUACUGGAGGUCCGAACCCACGCACGUUGAAAAGUGCGGGGAUGAGGUGUGGGUAGCGGAGAAAUUCCAAUCGAACUUGGAGAUAGCUGGUUCUCUCCGAAAUAGCUUUAGGGCUAGCCUCGAGGUAAAGAGUCAUGGAGGUAGAGCACUGUUUGGACUAGGGGCCCUUCUCGGGUUACCGAAUUCAGAUAAACUCCGAAUGCCAUGUACUUAUACUCGGGAGUCAGACUGCGAGUGAUAAGAUCCGUAGUCGAAAGGGAAACAGCCCAGACCACCAGUUAAGGUCCCCAAAUAUAUGUUAAGUGGAAAAGGAUGUGGGGUUGCUUAGACAACCAGGAUGUUGGCUUAGAAGCAGCCACCAUUGAAAGAGUGCGUAAUAGCUCACUGGUCGAGUGACCCCGCGCCGAAAAUGUACCGGGGCUAAAC